rnacentral:rRNA from 1 species
CACCAGGUUGAUUCUGCCUGACGUAGAUGCUAGUCUCUAAGAUUAAGCCAUGCAUGUCUAUGUAACAAGGACGAACAGCUCAGUACAACUGCGAUGAUUUAGUCUGUCUGUGUGCGAUAACUACGUGAAAAUGUAGCUAAGAGGGGACAGAAUAAGACGCAGGACUAUCAGUUAGUUGGUAGUGUAAUGGACUACCAAGACGAUGACGGUUGACGGGGAAUCAGGGUUCUGUACCGGAGAGGGAGCCUGAGAGAUUGCUCCCACGUCCAAGGACGGCAGCAGGCGCGAAAAUUGCCCACUGUUGUAGGAGGCAGUUAUGAGACGUGAAGAUGAGUGCUUGGCAAAGAGAACCAGGAGAAUUGGAGGGCAAGUUUGGUGCCAGCAGCCGCGGUAAUACCGACUCCAAGAGUGUGUGUGAGAGAUGCUGCAGUUAAAAAGUCC